rnacentral:rRNA from 1 species
GGAAUCUUGCCCAAUGGGCGAAAGCCUGAGGCAGCAACGCCGCGUGUGGGAUGACGGCCCUCGGGUUGUAAACCACUUUCAGCAGGGACGCAAUCGACGGUCACUGCAGAAGAAGCUCCGGCCAACUACGUGCCAGCAGCCGCGGUAAUACGUAGGGCGCGAGCGUUGUCCGGAUUUAUUGGGCGUAAAGAGCGCGUAGGCGGCUCGGUAAGCCGGAUGUGAAACCUCCAAGCUCAACUUGGAGCGGCCAUUCGGAACUGCCGUGGCUAGAGUCCGGUAGGGGAACACGGAAUACCUGGUGUAGCGGUGAAAUGCUUAGAUAUCAGGUGGAACACCAGUGGCGAAGGCGGUGUUCUGGGCCGGUACUGACGCUGAGGCGCGAAAGCGUGGGGAGCGAAC